rnacentral:lncRNA from 1 species
CCGGGAGGGAAGAAAGCGCGGGGGAUGGCUUGGCUUUAAAGCGGAGGGCACCGUUGCGCGCCGUGGAGACCAGGCGAUCGUAGCGGAGGAAGCGGGACGCCGACGGGAGAGGGGGUGGAAGCCGCCCACGCUUCAUCCAACCCCCCACCCCUCCUCUCCUCCUCCUCCUCCGCCGCCUCCUACCUACACCGUUAGAGCCGUUUCGUAGUCNNN